UGAUCCCACUCAUCCCAGUGAUCCCAUCCAUCCCAUGAUCCCAUCCAUCAUUCAAUGGUCCCAUCCAUCCCAGUGAUCCCAUCCAUCAUCCAAUGAUGCCAUCCAUCCCAGUGAUCCCAUCCACCAUCCAAUGAUCCCAUCCAUCCCAGCGAUCCCACCUAUCAUUCCAUGAUCCCCUCCAUCCCAAUACCACCAUCUCACUGACCCCACUGAUGCCACAAGCGAGCCUGCCCAUCCCACCAGUCAUCCCAGUCAUCCCACCCAUCAUUCGGUGAUCCCAUCCAUCCCAGCACCACCACGUCAGUGACCCCAGUGAUGCCACCAGUGAUCCCGCCCAUCCCACCAAUGAUCCCAUCCUUCCCAGUGAUCCCAUCCAUCAUCCAAUGAUCCCAUCCAUCCCUGUGAUCCCCCCCAUCAUCCAAUGAUGCCAUCCAUUUCAGUGACCCCACCCACCAUUCGGUGAUCCCAUCCAUCCCAGUGAUCCCAUCCAUCCCAGGGAUCCCAUCCAUCAUCCAAUGAUGUCAUCCAUCCCAGUGACCCCACACAUCAUACAGUGAUCCCACCCAUCCCAGAGAUCCCAGUGAUCCCACCCACCAUUCGGUGACCCCAUCCAUCCCAGUGACCCCACCCAUCAUCCAAUGAUCCCAUCCAUCCCAGCACCACCACCUCGGUGACCCCACUGAUGCCACCAGUGAUCCCACCCAUCCCAUCAAUGAUCCCAUCCAUCCCAAUGAUCCCAGUCAUCACACCCACCAUUCAAUGAUCCCAUCCAUCCCAAUGAUCCCGUCCAUCAUCCAAUGAUGCCAUCCAUUCCAGUGACCCCACCUAUCAUACAGUGAUCCCACCCAUCCCAUGCAUCUC
ensembl:lncRNA